rnacentral:rRNA from 1 species
UCCUACGGGGGGCAGCAGUGAGGAAUAUUGGUCAAUGGGCGGAAGCCUGAACCAGCCAAGUCGCGUGAGGGAAUAAGGCCCUACGGGUCGUAAACCUCUUUUGCCGGGGAGCAAGGGCCGGGACGAGUCCCGGUCCGGAGAGUACCCGGAGAAAAAGCAUCGGCUAACUCCGUGCCAGCAGCCGCGGUACUACGGAGGAUGCGCGCGUUAUCCGGAUUUAUUGGGUUUAAAGGGUGCGUAGGCGGGCUUUUUAGUCAGCGGUAAAAAUUCGGGGCUCAACCCCGUCCGGCCGUUGAAACUGGGGG